UAUUAUCACGAAAAUCAGGACCACAUACUUGCCUUGAAUGCUGUUUUAAGUGUAAAAACGCUUUUCGUAUAAUUGACAGUUCUUUACAUAUAUGUCAGAUACAAAAUAUUGACAAGCAAGAUGAAAUUUUAAAAAUUAGUUUUUGUUCAAUCUACAAAACAAACUACAGACUUCUUGAAAUUUCCCUUUUGUCUUUGUAAAAUUCAUAAUGCUAUGAUCUUGGUAAUGUGAACAUGUCAAAUCUGUGGUGACAAACUAAAUGUACCAUAUAACACUGAUGACUGGUCAAUGCACGAAAUGUGGAAUUUUAUAUUGAUUGAAAAUAAUCUUUCUUUAAUACUGAAACUAGGUAUGUUCAUAUGUAAGGAUACAUUUCUAAAACAAAUCCUGGUUCUCCAACUAUUGACUUGCC